AAAUAAAAAUAAAUUAAAACUAAUUCUCAGUUUUUUUAGGCAUUUUAACGAACAAAUUUUGUGCAGUUUAUAAACUAUCUUAAUAAUAACAACACAGACUGUGAUGAAAGAUUCGACGAUAGCAAAAGUAAGGCAACAUCAAAUAUAAGUACGAUAGUGAUAAGAAAGACUAGACUGUGGAAAAAAAAAUCUCAAAAAAGAAAUAUUAAUAAGAUAUCAUUAGAUCAAAAGAUUUCUAGAGUUAUACAAAUUAUUUUACUUAGCAGAAAAAACAAGAAUAUGUGGGU
rnacentral:sRNA from 1 species